CAGCUAUAUGAAAUGCAAAUAUUUUGUCAGUUAUUAGUAUAAAAGAGCUCUCAGUUACCAUAGUGAAUGAAUGGAAUCAAUUGAAGAGGUUAUUGGGGAUGGGAGAUAGAGGAGGGGACAAGUAAUGUGAAGAUGAGGGUUGAUUUUCUAACAGAGACAACAAUGGCCAACACAUCAAUGGAGAACCAGUGGGAAAGACAAUGAAGUGAGCAGUAACCAGGAAGAACCUCUCUAUGGCAUCCAUUUAUGUGAUUGUGACUGGGCUCUUCUCCUACACUUGCUAGACUAAAGAAUGCUUUGACUAAACAAGAAACAUGAAAUACUCAGCUAAACUUUCGACAAAUGAGAAUAUGAAAUGCCAAGUUGCUGAAGAGUUGAAGAAAGGACAGCUUCAGUUAAACCACGAGAGCAAAAAUUACACCAGUGAAUGUUGAAUGUAAUUUCACUUCACCAGCAAGUUGCUAGCAGCUGGAGGCAACCAUUCUCAGAUCACUUUGCAAUUCUCACCCUUAUCUUAAA